CUCUCUCUCUUUCACUCUCUCGUUUCGUUGUUCUUCAUAUCUGCAUCGAUCACUCUCUGACUAUCUCGUUGUUCAUCUCAUCGCACCGAUCGUUGCACCGUCGAUCUACUCACAGAUGGGAGACAAUGGCUAUGGAUCUUUGUCUUCAUACUCGUCAAAGAUGUAUGGAGGGUUAGUAUUAUUAUGGCCAUGAGUUUUUUACUAUAUUGAAAGACUCUUCAAUAACUCUCAUUUUGGGCGAAAUUAAAGAUGGCUGCAGAAAAGAAGGUGGGUGCAGCAAAGGCAGAACAAUUUUGCAAGGCUUUUCGAAGCAUUCACAAGAAACUUGUGUAUGAAGAAAUGAGUUUAGAUGCUGCCAGGAGUUUUGUGAGCUCACCUAAAAGUUAUGGAGAAUAGUUUCUUGCCUCCUGAAUUUUCUUGUUAUUCGGUUUCUGGUGGAUGUUUUACUUGGAGAGAGAGAGAGAGAGAGAGAGAGAGAUUGUAGUUCAAAUUGAAGUAGUUCAUGUUGCAAAUUUGAUUUUGAUUUAUGUUAUUUAAAUUUGUGAACAACAUUAUGUAUGUAUUAUGCGA